GUGUAAAAUUAGGAGAUACCUGGUUUAUCCAAUAUAUACAACUAGAUUUUAACCCGCGGUAUACCGCGGGAUGAUUUAUUUUUUAAAAGUAAUAUAUAUUAAAACUUGCAAAUUUUAUUUUUAUAAAAUAUUUAUAUUUUUACAGUUUAUAAUUAUUAUUAAGUAUUUAUAUA
rnacentral:sRNA from 1 species